rnacentral:rRNA from 1 species
UUGAAAAAUUUUUAUAAAAAAAGAAAAAUUUUUUUUUUGUACCUUGUGUAUCAGGGUUUAUUAAAUAAUUAAUAAUAAUUUUAUUAUUUUCGAUUUUAUAAGAGUUAAUAAUUUACUAAAUUUAGUGUAUUAAAAUUAUUUUUAAUAAGUUAUUAGAAAUGAAAUGUUAUUCGUUUAUAAAGGUAUCUAGUUUUUUUAGAAAUAAAUUUAAUUUAUAAAUUUUUAAUUUUUUUAUUUUUUAUAAAAUAGAAAAAAAUAUUAAUUUAGAUAUUUUAAGGGAUAAGCUUUAAAAUAAAUUAUUAUAAUUUACUAAAUUAUUAUUUAAAAUAUAUGCUUAGAAUUAGCAAUUAUUUAUAAUAUUGUUAUAAAUUAUUUUAUUAAUAUAAUAUUUAAUUAAUUUUAAUAUUUUUAUAAAAAUUUUUUUUUUAAUUUAUAUUAAAAAGUAUUAAUGAUAAAAUUAGUAUAUUAUUUAUAUGUAAUAAAUAAAUUUAUUUGAUAAGUUUAUAUAAAGAACUCGGCAAAUAUUAUACUCGCCUGUUUCACAAAAACAUGUCUUUUUGAGUUAUUUUUAAAGUCUAACCUGCCCAAUGAAAAAUUUUUAAUGGCCGCAGUAUUCUAACUGUGCAAAGGUAGCAUAAUCAUUAGUCUUUUAAUUGAAGGCUUGUAUGAAUGGUUGGACGAAGUAUAAACUGUUUCAUUUAAAUUUAUAAUAGAAUUUUAUUUUUUAGUAAAAAAGCUAAAAUAUAAUUAAAAGACGAGAAGACCCUAUAAAUCUUUAUAUUAUAAUUUAUUUCUUUUUUUUUGAUUUUUUAAAAUUUAAUAAUUUAUAAUAUUUUGUUGGGGUGAUAUUAAAAUUUAAAAAACUUUUAAUUUAAUUUUUACAUUAAUUUAUGAUUUAUUGAUCCUUUAAUAAUGAUUAUAAGAAUAAGUUACUUUAGGGAUAACAGCGUAAUUUUUUUGGAGAGUUCUUAUCGAUAAAAAAGUUUGCGACCUCGAUGUUGGAUUAAGAGAUAUUUUUAGGUGUA